GACGAACGCUGGCGGCGUGCUUAACACAUGCAAGUCGAACGGAAAGGCCCUGCUUUUGUGGGGUGCUCGAGUGGCGAACGGGUGAGUAACACGUGAGUAACCUGCCCUUGACUUUGGGAUAACUUCAGGAAACUGGGGCUAAUACCGGAUAGGAGCUCCUGCUGCAUGGUGGGGGUUGGAAAGUUUCGGCGGUUGGGGAUGGACUCGCGGCUUAUCAGCUUGUUGGUGGGGUAGUGGCUUACCAAGGCUUUGACGGGUAGCCGGCCUGAGAGGGUGACCGGCCACAUUGGGACUGAGAGACGGCCCAGACUCCUACAGGAGGCAGCAGUGGGGAAUAUUGCACAAUGGGCGGAAGCCUGAUGCAGCGACGCCGCGUGCGGGAUGACGGCCUUCGGGUUGUGAACCGCUGUCGCCUGUGACGAAGCGUGAGUGACGGUAAUGGGUAAAGAAGCACCGGCUAACUACGUG
rnacentral:rRNA from 1 species